UUUGCUUCAAAGGGCAACACCGAUGGGUCUCUGCCUCCAAGGAACAGCUCACACUCAAGACAAGUGAAAUCAGAGAGCACAACAAUCUCCCAAGGGCAGCACUCUCCCUGCCCCACUGGCUGCUUUGGUGGCCAAACCGUGAGAAUGGAGAUACGUGAGCACUGCUUCCCAGCAGUGUGAGCAGCAUGGCUGACAGAGCUCCUGCCCCCAGAAGAGGAAUGGUGCUUCCAGCUCCAGGUUCUGAAGGAUGUUGUCAAAGGACUGAUCACCUCAGCGCCUGUCCAUGGAAUCCGCACUAGCAGCCUGUCCUUUUCAAACCAACAACCCUCAUCUGGGUCCGUGCACACCAGCUGACCACAACCAGUUCAAAGCCAGCUUAGUGACCCCUCAGAACCUUCAUCCAGUAACCGAUGGAAGCAGAUGCAGAGAUCCACAGCCAAGCACCUGGCAGAACUACAGGAGUCCAGUCGAAGAGAUGGAGGAGGGAUUAUAUGAACA